rnacentral:rRNA from 1 species
UCUCCUACGGGAGGCAGCAGUGAGGAAUAUUGGUCAAUGGGCGAGAGCCUGAACCAGCCAAGUCGCGUGAGGGAAGACGGUCCUAUGGAUUGUAAACUUCUUUUGUCAAGGGACAAAAUCAGGCUCGAGAGCCUGACCGAGGGUACUUGAAGAAAAAGCAUCGGCUAACUCCGUGCCAGCAGCCGCGGUAAUACGGAGGAUGCGAGCGUUAUCCGGAUUUAUUGGGUUUAAAGGGUGCGUAGGCGGACUGUUAAGUCAGCGGUAAAAGCCCGGAGCUCAACCCCGGCGAGCCGUUGAAACUGGCU